UGUGAAGAAUGAGCUGAAGAAGAUCCAGAAGGUUCUGAGUACAGAAUACCCAGAAUGCUUAGAAUCAGAGGAACAGCAGCAGAGAGGCAUUUGUGAAGAUCACACUAGAAUUCCUGAGGAGAAUGAAGCAGGAGGAGCUUCCUGACCAUCUGCAGAGCAAACUUCCAGGUGCAGUUUGUCAUCAUAACCUUAAAUCCACCCUGAAGAAGAAGUUCCAGUGUGUGUUUGAGGGCAUCGCUAAAGCAGGAAACCCAACCCUUCUGAAUCAGAUCUACACAGAGCUCUACAUCACAGAGGGAGGGACUGCAGA